ensembl:lncRNA
GUCAGCCAAGACGUUCCUCUAAAGCGAUGCACGUUAUCAAACGUGGUUUUGACCCAGUGUGUUCUUCACCCCGUUCCCGGCUCCAGAACCUUCAGAACGUCUACACUGCCCCCUGGUGGCUGAAUGUUGUUAUUGCUGUCCCUGAGAAUGUCCUUGGGCCUAGAAGUCCUCGAGGACCAGACAUUCCUGCCCUCCGGACUUCCCCCUUAGGCUGGGAAUGCUAUGAGAUUUUGAAUCUGAGAAUGCUUCUUAGGAGUCUCAAUGGUGGCUUGCACAGAGAAGAAAGAUCUGGGUAUUAAGGGGAUCUUCUGGAUCCAGGGAUUAAACCCAAUCUCUUACAUCUCCUGUACUGGCAAGCGGACUUUUUACCACUGCACCAUCUGGGAAGCCAGUAUGUUUUUGAUCUUUGUUGAAGAUGCUAAUAAGCCAGGGUUGUAAGCCUCCACUUUGAGUUACUUUUUCUGGCGGUUUCUCCCACAUCCUACUCGAGUUAAUAAACCAGUUUUCUCUUGUUAAUCUGUCUUUUUAUUAGAUUCCCCCAUUGCAAGCUUAAGAUGAGUAGAGCUAAGAUUUUGUGUCCCCUCUGAGGACCAGGAGCAGGUCAUUUCUUUGAGAAGUGGACUAGGACACACACAUGAUGGAGGGACUGCAGAGGGGAGGGAAAGACAGAACAAACGGCCUGUUUUUGAAGUAGGGACAUCAGUGGCUCUGUCUCUGACAGAACUCCCUGAGGAACUAUGGCCCACGCCGCUGAACCAGCUCAUGAAGGGAGGAGGUGGCAGCUCCACGGGCUGACUCCUGUUCUCCACUCACUGAUUGCUCCCAGGGACAAUAACAGCUCGGAAUUUCCAAGGUUUGCUGCCUGCAGCCCAGCCAGCUCCCACAGUGUCGCAGAAAUCCCUCAGCUAGACAAGGGAGAGGCCAGGCACUUGGGGAGGAAGCUGUGAGAUGCUGGACCGUCUUCCUCAGCCUCCAUCAGGGAGGAAGAGGGACUCACAGGUCGGCUGUGAGCCCACACCAGCCUCUGAUGGUUGAAGACCAUGACAUCAAACAUCUGAAAACUUGACUUAAAUGCUAUUCCUGGCCCUUUCCUUUCAAAUAUUCCUCUUGCCCCAUAUUUUCUUCUCUUUCUGUUUCUGUCCUCUAGGUCUUUUAUUCUGGCCUUCGUCCCUGGGUCUGACACUUGCUUUGGCACUAAGGCCCCACGGUAGAGACCAAUGUGACCAGCAGACCAGUGAAGGGGGAGCUGGUGAGGUGGUCUCAGAGAGGAGGCAGAUAGACAGAUGGCGGAGGGCCUGGGAGGCUGUUUUAGGACUUUGCUUGAAUGUGAAAUUGAUGGACUGUGUUGGAUGAUUUUAAGUUGAAAUUUUCAUGUUCUGUAUCAUAUUCACAGGAAGUAAAUUUUCCUUUCACCUUCAGAAUCUCUUCUGUCUCUCCCUCUUACAUUUCUCAUUUCUUCUUUCUCUCAAUUUCUUUCCGUCUCUCCCUUCCCAGGGUAGUUCACUCCAUCCCAGCUCCUCCCCGCCUCCCUUCAACCUCAGCCUCUCUGCUCAUUGAACUUUCUUCUGCUAAGUGCCCUGUAAGCCCUCUGGCUUCUCCCUUGGUCUGGAUCCCUCCCAGUCAUCACUGCUCUUCUCUGCUAGUAUUUACCAUUCAGAGGCUUUGAGCCAUGCUGCUUGCCAGCUUAUGCAACAGUGAGCCUUCUGAAAUAUGACUCUGUCUCUGACAUUUUGGAUCAAAGCUAUCCUACCAGAAAAAAAAAAAAAAUCCAGAUAUAAAUUCCUGAUGUCAAAUGCAUUCAGCAUCUUAGGCAGUUUGCGAGUUCGGGUCACGUUGUUGGUGUGACCCUGGGAUCACAACACAGGGGAAAGGCAUCAGCAUCUGUGAGGAGUCCAGGGGGCCAUGAGUUGUCUGAUGACAUCACACCCAGCCUAUCCCAGGCCCUGCACCAAGAAGAAGCCUGCUUCUUGCAGAAAUUGCUCUAGGCAGAGGAAGGACCAGAGACUACAGUCUUUGAUCCCUCCAAGUUGGGAAAAUUGCACACUGAAAUUAAGAAGCAUUUUUCCAUCUCCCAGGAAGUAAGAUCAUGCUCAGUCACUACAGUCAUGUCUGACUCUUUGCGACCUCAUGGACUGUAGCCCACCAGCCUCCUCUGUCCAUGGGAUUCUCCGGGCAAGAAUACUGGAGUGGGUUGCCAUGCCCCUCUCCAGGGGAUCUUCCAGACCCAGAGAUUGAACACACGUCUCCUGUGUCUCCUACAUUACAGGCAGAUUCUUUACCCACUGAGCCACCUGGGAAGCCUGUAAGUAAGAUCUGAACAUACUUCCGGACCAUGCUUGUCCUCUGGUCCGGGGAAACCUACUUUCAAGGUCACUGAGGUAGGCAGAAUUUUGGCCCCUAUAACUUUCACACUCUGGUGUCACAACCUCAAUUAUUUUGCCUUACAUGACAAAAGGGAAUUUGUAGAUGUACUCAAGGCUAUUAAUCAACUGCUCUUAAAAUAGUGAGAUAAGCUGGAUUGUCCAGGUGGACCCAAUGUGACCACAUUAGCCCUUGAAAACAAAAGAAGAAGUCAGAGAUAUUUAGAAUUUAAGAAGGACUCAACACAUCAACACCACUCAACAUCAGCGUUGGCUUUGAGGACAGAAGAAGGGCCACAAGUCAAGGGAUGCAGGCAGCUUCUGGAAGUUGAGAAGCUCCUCCAGCUGAUGACCAAUGAGGACAUGGGGACCUCAGUCUUGCAACCACAAGGAAGUGCAUUCUGUCCACAACCUGAAUGAACCUGGAAGCAGAUUCUUCCCAGAGCCUCCCAGUAGGAACACAGCUGGCCAAUACCCUAAUUUCAGUCUUAAGAGACCCUCAGAAGAGGUCCCUAGCUGAGAUUUCUGACCAACAGAACUUUGAGAUAAAAACAUUCAUUGUUUUAAGCCACUCGAUGUGUGGCGGUUUGUUGCAGCAGCACUGGGAGACUAACAGGUCCCCUCUGAUUAGACCACUGUAAGCUGGAGCUAUCUGC